rnacentral:rRNA from 1 species
AUUGACCUCGGAUCAGGUAGGGAUACCCGCUGAACUUAAGCAUAUCAAUAAGCGGAGGAAAAGAAACCAACAGGGAUUGCCCCAGUAACGGCGAGUGAAGCGGCAACAGCUCAAAUUUGAAAUCUGGCUCCUUUGGGGUCCGAGUUGUAAUUUGUAGAGGGUGCUUUGGCGUUGGUUGUGGUCUAAGUUCCUUGGAACAGGACGUCACAGAGGGUGAGAAUCCCGUACGUGGCCGCCAGCCUCCGCCGUGUAAAGCCCCUUCGAUGAGUCGAGUUGUUUGGGAAUGCAGCUCUAAAUGGGAGGUAAAUUUCUUCUAAAGCUAAAUAUUUGCCAGAGACCGAUAGCGCACAAGUAGAGUGAUCGAAAGAUGAAAAGCACUUUGGAAAGAGAGUCAAAAAGCACGUGAAAUUGUUGAAAGGGAAGCGCUUGCAGCUAGACGUGCCUUUGGUUGAUCAGCCGGACUUUUGCCCGGUGCACUCUUCCUUUGGCAGGCCAGCAUCAGUUUGGGCGGCUGGAUAAAGGUCUGUUAAACGUGACUUCCUUCGGGAAGAGCUUAUAGGGCAGACGACAUGCAGCCAGCCCGAACUGAGGUCCGCGCAUCUGCUAGGAUGCUGGCGUAAUAGCUGUAAGCGGCCCGUCUUGAAACACGGACCAAGGAGUCUAACAUCUAUGCGAGUGUUUGGGUGUCAAGCCCGAGCGCGUAAUGAAAGUAAUACGUAGGUGGGAACCUUUUAGGUGCACCAUCGACCGAUCUUGAUGUCUUCGGAUGGAUUUGAGUAAGAGCAUAGCUGUUGGGACCCGAAAGAUGGUGAACUAUGCCUGAAUAGGGUGAAGCCAGAGGAAACUCUGGUGGAGGCUCGCAGCGGUUCUGACGUGCAAAUCGAUCGUCAAAUUUGGGCAUAGGGGCGAAAGACUAAUCGAACUAUCUAGUAGCUGGUUCCUGCCGA